GAACGCUGGCGGGCGCUUAUGCUGCAGUCAGCGAAGCUUUUCAGUAGUUUACUACGGAAAAUGACUGAGCGGCGAACGGGUGAGUAACGCGUGAGCAAUCUACCUUAGUUACAGGGAUAGCCCGAGGAAACUCGGAUUAAUACCUGAUAUUCUUUAUUUCUCGCAUGAGAAUAAAAGGAAAGGUCAGCCGAACUAAGAUGAGCUCGCGUUCUAUCAGCUAGUUGGUGAGGUAAAAGCUCACCAAGGCUACGACGGAUAGCUGGUCUGAGAGGACGAUCAGCCACACUGGGACUGAGACACGGCCCAGACUCCUACGGGAGGCUGCAGCAGGGAAUAUUGCGCAAUGAGCGAAAGCUUGACGCAGCGACACCGCGUGUGGGAUGACGGAUCUAGGUUUGUAAACCACUUUCAGGAGGGAAGAAAAUGACGGUACCUCCACAAGAAGCCCCGGCCAACUACGUGCCAGCAGCCGCGGUAAUACGUAGGGGGCGAGCGUUGUCCGGAUUUAUUGGGCGUAAAGAGCUCGUAGGCGGUUCAACAAGUCGGUCGUGAAAGUUCAGGGCUCAACCCUGAAAUGUCGAUCGAUACUGUUGCGACUAGGAUACGGUAGAGGUGAGUGGAAUUCCGAGUGUAGCGGUGAAAUGCGUAGAUAUUCGGAGGAACACCAAUUGCGAAGGCAGCUCACUGGGCC
rnacentral:rRNA from 1 species